UCCCUCUUAGCUCAGUGGUAGAGCGCGUCACUAGUAUACGAAUUGAGUAUAUGACGAGGUCAGUCGUUCAAGUCGGCUAGAGGGAA
rnacentral:tRNA from 1 species